UCUUUGUACGCAAAAGGAGUCAGACUAACAUUUCACUUUUGCAAGCUUCAUGGACGGCUAGCCACUACAAAAACAACCGAAAACUUCUCAAACAUUUCCUCUACAAACUUCACCUCAAAAAUCUUGCCAAACCUUCAUAGAUUCACCACACAAGCUCAAGACAACUUGGACAAUCACUUGGACAAAGAAAGAGCUGCACAUUCACGGAUCUUCUUGGAGUUUUAGGGGCACCAAAAUCUGACUUUUUAGCACACAAGUAAGGUUUGAACUCGGAAGUAAAAUAGAGAAGCCCUCCUGAUGUAUUUUUGUUUUAGGGUUUGCUAUUACUUUUGGUUAUGCCUUUGAUUUUGGGAUUGUACUUUUGGUAUGGAAAUGUAACCUUUGGACGAAAUGUAUUUUGUAUACCGACGUGUGGUUUGGAGAAUGGAUGACUAUUAUUAAGUUUGAACGUUUCCGCA